rnacentral:rRNA from 1 species
AGGACGAACGCUGGCGGCGUGCUUAACACAUGCAAGUCGAGCGGAAAGGCCCUUCGGGGUACUCGAGCGGCGAACGGGUGAGUAACACGUGAGCAACCUGCCCUUAGCUUCGGGAUAGCUCCGGGAAACCGGAAUUAAUACCGAAUAUGAUUUUUGCUGACAUCAGCAGAAGUGGAAAGUUUUUCGGCUAGGGAUGGACUCGCGGCCUAUCAGCUAGUUGGUGAGGUAACGGCCCACCAAGGCGACGACGGGUAGCCGGCCUGAGAGGGCGACCGGCCACACUGGGACUGAGACACGGCCCAGACUCCUACGGGAGGCAGCAGUGGGGAAUAUUGCGCAAUGGGCGAAAGCCUGACGCAGCGACGCCGCGUGGGGGAUGAAUGCCUUCGGGUUGUAAACCCCUUUCAGCAGGGACGAAGCGAAAGUGACGGUACCUGCAGAAGAGCGCCGGCUAACUACGUGCCAGCAGCCGC